rnacentral:rRNA from 1 species
UGGGGAAUAUUGCACAAUGGGCGCAAGCCUGAUGCAGCAACGCCGCGUGAACGAUGAAGGUCUUCGGAUCGUAAAGUUCUGUUGCAGGGGAAGAUAAUGACGGUACCCUGUGAGGAAGCCCCGGCUAACUACGUGCCAGCAGCCGCGGUAAUACGUAGGGGGCUAGCGUUAUCCGGAUUUACUGGGCGUAAAGGGUGCGUAGGUGGUCCUUCAAGUCGGUGGUUAAAGGCUACGGCUCAACCGUAGUAAGCCGCCGAAACUGGAGGACUUGAGUGCAGGAGAGGAAAGUGGAAUUACCAGUGUAGCGGUGAAAUGCGUAGAUAUUGGGAGGAACACCAGUAGCGAAGGCGGCUUUCUGGACUGCAACUGACACUGAGGCACGAAAGCGUGGGUAGCAAACAGG